rnacentral:rRNA from 1 species
UACAGAGGUCUCAAGCGUUGUUCGGAUUCAUUGGGCGUAAAGGGUGCGUAGGCGGCCGUGCAAGUCUGGCGUGAAAGCCCCGGGCUCAGCCCGGGAAGUGCGCUCGAAACUGCGCGGCUCGAGUGCCGGAGGGGAGAGUGGAAUUCCUGGUGUAGCGGUGAAAUGCGUAGAUAUCCGGAAGAACACCGGUGGCGAAGGCGGUGAGCUGGGCAGUUGCUGACACUGAGGCGCGACAGCGUGGGGAGCAAACAGG